rnacentral:tRNA from 1 species
GGAGAGAUGGCUCAAUGGUUAAGAGCACUGACUGUUCUCUGCCAGAGGACCUGGGUUCAAUUCCCAGCACCC